GAGACACGGCCCAGACUCCUACGGGAGGCAGCAGUGGGGAAUAUUGGACAAUGGGCGGAAGCCUGAUCCAGCCAUGCCGCGUGUGUGAAGAAGGCCUUUUGGUUGUAAAGCACUUUAAGCGAGGAGGAGGCUCCUUUAGUUAAUACCUAAAGUGAGUGGACGUUACUCGCAGAAUAAGCACCGGCUAACUCUGUGCCAGCAGCCGCGGUAAUACAGAGGGUGCGAGCGUUAAUCGGAUUUACUGGGCGUAAAGCGUGCGUAGGCGGCUUUUUAAGUCGGAUGUGAAAUCCCUGAGCUUAACUUAGGAAUUGCAUUCGAUACUGGAAAGCUAGAGUAUGGGAGAGGAUGGUAGAAUUCCAGGUGUAGCGGUGAAAUGCGUAGAGAUCUGGAGGAAUACCGAUGGCGAAGGCAGCCAUCUGGCCUAAUACUGACGCUGAGGUACGAAAGCAUGGGGAGCAAACAGGAUUAGAUACCCUGGUAGUCCAUGCCGUAAACGAUGUCUACUAGCCGUUGGGGCCUUUGAGGCUUUAGUGGCGCAGCUAACGCGAUAAGUAGACCGCCUGGGGAGUACGGUCGCAAGACUAAAACUCAAAUGAAUUGACGGGGGCCCGCACAAGCGGUGGAGCAUGUGGUUUAAUUCGAUGCAACGCGAAGAACCUUACCUGGCCUUGACAUACUAAGAACUUUCCAGAGAUGGAUUGGUGCCUUCGGGAACUUAGAUACAGGUGCUGCAUGGCUGUCGUCAGCUCGUGUCGUGAGAUGUUGGGUUAAGUCCCGCAACGAGCGCAACCCUUUUCCUUAUUUGCCAGCGGGUCAUGCCGGGAACUUUAAGGAUACUGCCAGUGACAAACUGGAGGAAGGCGGGGACGACGUCAAGUCAUCAUGGCCCUUACGGCCAGGGCUACACACGUGCUACAAUGGUCGGUACAAAGGGUUGCUACCUCGCGAGAGGAUGCUAAUCUCAAAAAGCCGAUCGUAGUCCGGAUCGCAGUCUGCAACUCGACUGCGUGAAGUCGGAAUCGCUAGUAAUCGCGGAUCAGAAUGCCGCGGUGAAUACGUUCCCGGGCCUUGUACACACCGCCCGUCACACCAUGGGAGUUUGUUGCACCAGAAGUAGGUAGUCUAACCGCAAGGAGGACGCUUACCACGGUGUGGCAGAUGACUGGGGUGAAGUCGUAACAAGGUAGCCGUAGGGGAACCUGCGGCUGGAUCACCU
rnacentral:rRNA from 1 species